UUAGGGAUGAUAUGCGUUCCUUAUGGGUUUUUGAUAAUAUGUGAAUUUUUAUUUUAUACGAAAUAAGACGGAUCAUAUUACUUUUAUUUUUUUAUUUUUAGGAGGCAUUUACCAUGACAUUAACAGGUAAAGUAAAAUGGUUUAACAGCGAAAAAGGUUUCGGUUUCAUCGAAGUUCCAGAAGGUAACGACGUAUUCGUUCACUUCUCUGCUAUCACUGGCGACGGCUUCAAAACUCUUGACGAAGGUCAAGAAGUUAGCUUCGAAGUUGAAGAAGGUAACCGCGGACCUCAAGCUAAAAACGUUGUAAAGCUAUAAUUUAAGCUAAAAAAAGGUUGUUAACACUGAAAGGUUAACAACCUUUUU
rnacentral:sRNA from 1 species